CCCGGACACACCCCGGUCAGUGACGUCACGUUGGCGUAGCUAGUUGAUGAGAAACACCUGUUGUAAAACUAUUCCAUAUACAAACUUAAACAUACAA